GACGAACGCUGGCGGCGUGCUUAACACAUGCAAGUCGAGCGGAAAGGCCACUUCGGUGGUACUCGAGCGGCGAACGGGUGAGUAACACGUGAGUAAUCUGCCCCUGGCUUUGGGAUAGCCACCGGAAACGGUGAUUAAUACCGGAUAUGACCACUUCACGCAUGUGAUGGUGGUGGAAAGUUUUUCGGCCAGGGAUGUGCUCGCGGCCUAUCAGCUUGAUGGUGAGGUAAUGGCUCACCAUGGCUUCGACGGGUAGCCGGCCUGAGAGGGUGACCGGUCACACUGGGACUGAGACACGGCCCAGACUCCUACGGGAGGCAGCAGUGGGGAAUAUUGGACAAUGGGCGGAAGCCUGAUCCAGCAACGCCGCGUGAGGGAUGACGGCCUUCGGGUUGUAGACCUCUUUCGCCUGUGACGAAGCGCAAGUGACGGUAACAGGUAAAGAAGCACCGGCCAACUACGUGCCAGCCGCCGCCGUAAGAC
rnacentral:rRNA from 1 species